rnacentral:lncRNA from 1 species
UUUUACGUUUAGGUCCAAAAACGCUAAAGGACAAAUUGUUUUGAUCCUUUAAUGAAAUUUUUGCAUUGAUUAAAUUUUGGGUUCUAUUGUAAUUACAUGAAGUAGUGGACUUUUUGUGUCUUUACAAAGUGACCCCAAAAGUUUUGCAACAUAGCCCAAAAGUUGAGGUUAAUUGCUUAAUGACCCAAAUAAGUUGUGGUUAUUGCAUGAUGGCCUAAAUUAGGUUGAGAACAAAAUUGUUUUUGUCUCUUUAAAUGAGAAUUGGAUUUUCAUUUUGUUUAGCUCCAUUUAAAUCAAUUUUAUGGAUACAAAAACCAAAUGAAAAUGUUGCAUUCUUUUUAAUUAGUUAAAAGUGUUAAUUAAUUAAAGGGUGAUUAUGAACCUAAGCCUAAUAUAAUUGAGCUAUGUGAAAGGCCGUUUCAAAUUUGUUUGAACCAUGGGAAUGUGUAGAUUAAUUUUGGUUGUAAUUUGAUUUGAUCAAAUGUUGUAAAAGGGCAUAAGCUCUUCUUUACUUUAAAGUAAUUUGUU